rnacentral:rRNA from 1 species
UACGUAGGGCGCAAGCGUUAUCCGGAAUUAUUGGGCGUAAAGAGCUCGUAGGCGGUUUUGUCGCGUCUGCCCGUGAAAAGUCCGGGGGCUCAAACUCCCGGAUCUGCGGUGGGGUACGGGGCAGACUAGAGUGAUGUAGGGGGAGACUGGAAUUCCUGGUGUAGCGGUGAAAUGCGCAGAUAUCAGGAGGAACACCGAUGCGAAGG